CCACAACGUAACUUUGUGACGUUGCCAGUAAGUAACUGCGACGUCGUGGCAACGUCGCGAAUCGGUAGUUGUGUGCUGGUAAUCAGUUGGUAAUUUUUGAUAAUUAUUUAUUUUUUAUGGGCGGACAUGCAGUAGUUUAAUCUAAUUUAUGUCCUCAUAUGCCCAAACUAAUUUAAAGGCUGUUUCAGCAGCUGUGAAUGAUGAAUACAGACUCGAAAUGAAUUCAGUUCAUUUAUUAACAAACAAAUAUGACCAGUAAUACACCCAAAUUAUUAAUAAAAACAUAGGAUAUACAGCAAAAUAUGAAUGAAAGCAUUCAGCCCAUACAGAAGCACAUAGAUUAAAAUAUAUUAAUAAUAAAUAAAUGUCCAUAUAUUUAAAUAUCUAUAUCCUUCUGUAAGCAUCCAGGAUCAAAACAUUAUGCACAAAUAUUCAAGUCUUAGUAGGCACUCAGCCCAUUGCAUUUAAAUAUUUAAGAGAGCCAUCAUUAACCAUGCACACAUCAACUAAUCACAUGCUCCCACAAUAAUACAUCAGCUAAUCGCACCCUUAACCAAACCACUACAAAUAAUUAACUGAAAAUCAUAUGCAAUAUCUUAUGAACAGAUGUAUUAUAGCAAAUCAGGUUUAAUGAAUCUCACACCUAACAUACAGCAUUAUGGCCAGUUCACACUGCCAAAAAAACUAUUUAAAAAACAUGCUUAUUUUGUUUGAACUGCUGGAGUAUGGCGGUGUGAAUUGGCUUUUAGGUGCUUUGGACACCAAAAAAACAAACAAAAAAAAAACUAUUAAUGUUAAUUGCUAAAACAGUAUAUAUAAUGUUUAAGCAAUUAAUAUUAAAUUCUUAAAUCUUCAGUAAUUCUUACUUUCUCUAUGCUUGCAAUAUUCAAGUGUUCAUGUCCCUGAGUAAUAUCUGCAUCCACCGAAGUAUGCUAGUAGACAGCAGUCCAUAUGAGAGAGGUCUGGUGUGGAGGGUGGAUCUGGAACUGACUUCUGUACAGUUUGUCACAUCUCUUGAUUAUCUGUCUUCACAAACUGCCCUGAAUAGUCAAAUGGAGCGUAGAGUCCUGGAGAUGUUGUCCGAGAGCAGCUCCGCUCCGACUCUGCUGGUGUUCAGGCCAUCAGCGCGAAAAAGCCUAGGACGCUUCCAGAAAAGAUUCCAAUUAUUAACAAAGAGCAGUUUCUGUUCUUUACACCAUGACAAUAACCAUUCAUUUAGAGCAAAAACUCUACUGAACCUUUCGUGUCCUCAUCUAUACAUGAGAAAAGGUGCUGAGAUGAUGAUCAUCGUGCAGGCGAUAUGCUGCACACCAUCUCGAUCAGGCUCCUGAAGUCCCUCUUUAGUGUCUGCGUCUGCCGCAGCUUUGGUGUUGUUAACCCCGGCGUGAAGCACGACCGCUCCGAUGCUCUCUUCACCCUUCAGGAUCACGGGUAUCUGCGCAGAAAUAUCAAGAACACGAGCACCAGGGAAACAGUGAGUGUGCACAUUACCUCCAGCUAACAUAGCACGAAUAUGCCGGAUGAUGGAGUCUCCGACGAACACAGAGUCGUGUUCUGUCUCGUGAAGUGGAGGAAAUCGGAUUCCAGUGGAGUUCCCGAAGACCGGAGGCGACGGGGGGAGAGAGGUUGUCCCCCAGGACCUGGCUCAUGUCUUCCGCUGUGGCACAGGGUGAAGGACAUCUGGGAAGAUUGCGUCCUGGGUACACCGGGCCUGUGCAGAGAACCACACAGAGUAGAGGUGGUGGGAGAGUUAGCAGCGUGCUGUAUACUUACACUGGACUUAUGAGCAUCAACCCCUGAAUGUUUCCAUCACGGCUCUCCGCUCUCUCAGCUGAGCCUGCUUCUCCACGAGGUCACGGAUCUGCUUCUCCACGGCCUCCAGCUCCUUAUUAGAAAUAAACAAACUAGAGAAAUGCAGAAAAGAACAAUAGUAAUAUGGAAAAAAUACAAAAAAAUGUUAAGAUACCUGAAUUUGUUUACAAUGAAAAAUCAAAACGUGUUUGAAACAGUGGUUUGAAAUAGUUUCAGCCCAUUUUAGACUGCGUGCAAGUGACGUCACUGACAGACUCUACAGUGCAGACUUUUAGGUUAAAUUAAUUAGCUUACUUCCAUAUAUCUAUUGACAAAUUAUCAGCAAAAACAUUUACAAAGCUAUCAAAACCGCCCCUUUACACAUAAGAUGUGAUUAAAAGCCCAAACUUUCAUUAAUAAGAGCUCAAAUCUAGUACGUUAUGCUAUAAUUAUGUUUCUACGCUAGCGUAAUAUUUGCUAGCAGACAUUUCAGAUAAUUAAGGAAAUAUACCAUAAUCACAGAGGUAUAAAUAUUAACAAAAGUACUUAAAGUAGACUGUGGAUGAUAUUAAUAUGUGUUACUUAAGCAAUCUGUCGCAGUUGUUGAACUUUUCUUUGGUAUAACUGACGAGAAACAGAGAAAGUGUCAGACGCGUCCUCUCCUCUCCAGCAGCUGAUGUGUCCGCGGUUGCCAUGGUAACUCUCAACGGCUAAUAGGCUAAUAAAAACAAUAUUAUUAAAAAAGGGUUUUAGCGUCUUUACAGAGUUCAAGACGUUUGUUUUUACUUUGUUUUAUACAUUUUAUCAACCUAUUUAUUUAUUAUAAAUUGUAAGACUCACCUCAGAAAAGCUAAUUCUCCGGUCAGACACAGUUGAAGUGAAAAGUGCCUCAAACAAACGCGCUGUCCUCCUGAUACAGUAUCUGCGGCAGAUGAGAUGGUAUAGCCAGUCUGUGUCAUUAUUUCACGUUCAUAACUCCUUACGAAAUAGAAAGUUUCACAACUCAGAAAAAAUGUAUUUCCUUUCUUGUCAGUAUACUGUGCGCGCGGUGUGUCAGCUGUGGAAGCGCGCGCGCUGUAUGUCACGUCAUUAUAUAUUAAAAGCAUGUCCAUAUUCUGACUUGGUGAAAAGAAACACAUUUUAUCUUUAAGGAACGUUUAAUCUUGUGUCUGAAGUUUAAUUACACUUUUUAAAUAUCACUAUACUCAGAAAGCAUAUAAAGAACAAAAGUUAUGGUAAUGAAAUUACGUGCAAACGACGUCGUAGUUACGUUGCCAGUAAGUCAUGAAGUUACCAAUAUAUUACGAAUAGAGAACCUAUCUGGGACGUUCUUGGUUAUCUGGUCACGUUGGAAGGACGUACUGACGACGUUGCGAGUUGGUAAUGUGAUGGUAAUAAAAUUACGGGCAUGCGACGUCGUAGUUACGUUGUCAAUUGGUAAGUCACGGAAUUACCAAAAAUUACCAAUACGUUACGUAACUGUUACGUCGUGUGUUAGCAGGGUAUGCACAAAGCAAAAAUGACUGCGGUAAAGUACACGCUGAGUUUGAACAUGUAGUAAAAGGAGGGAUUCCCCCUCCUCAGAGACAAUAUAAAAUGAAUGGUGCUGCAGAGAAUGACAGCCGCGAGACUAUUAAAGAACC
ensembl:lncRNA